CUGAACCCAUGACCUGACAGCAGCAUUAAUCCUCCAAUACGAUCCCAGAAGCUUGCUGAGCCCCAUUCUAGGGCCAAGAAGGUGAUGCUAAGUCACAUGCCCAAGGUCAUGCAGCAGCGGACAGCUAACCACAGCCUUGAGGGACCACAAAGUACUUCCGAGCCUCAGAAGGCUUAAUAAGAAGACGCCAUCCCUGCCUGCGCAGAUUUGGAAACGGUCUUCAUGUGAUCCUCAGCCAGCCACACACAUCGGAAUUGGAUUAUCCCGGAACGUCUACCUGGAGGUGCUACUUUAUUUCAUCCACAUCGCCUCCGUUCUAACAGCAACUGCAUUACUUUGCUGUAAUAAGGUAGCAGCCCCACAAAAUUAAAAUCUCAUUCCAUGGAGUCUCUCAAUAGCCCUGUAAGCUAGCUGGGAGGAGAAGCGGUAUUAAACCCAUUUUUCUUCUGGGAAAGCUGAGGUUCUCGAGUUCUGUUGCAGGCUAACGGCUAAGCCUCACCUGUGUCGGAUUCAGCAUGUGACUUGAAAACCUAGGCAUGGUGAUACGUUCCUGUAAUCUCAGGACUCGGGGAACAGUAGUAGAAGAAUUCAGGACUUCAAGGCAUAUCCACUUUAGGGCCAGCCUGGGUUGUGUCUGAUUGGCUCAAAAACAACAACAACAACAACAACAACAAAACAAACAAACAAACAAACCACCCCCAAACCCCAAAGAACGAGCCAACCAAUAAAUGCACUUUCCUCAAUACAUUUUGCUACGCAAAGGUUUCACCAAUACUUGUCUUUUCUGGAACGUGACAUUUACAUAAUUGCAUAAAGAAAGGAGGUGGGUCAUACAUAUGCUUUCCAGAGUAAGACCUGCCUCAUCUCCCCUUAUCUGAAACCGCACUGCUCCUUCAUCCAUGUCCCCCUACCCUGAAGUAUGUAUCCCCAAUACACUGGACACCACUUGACUGUUUGCCCCCCUUUACCAGAAUGCCAGCUGCCUGAGAGCAGUGUGUAGACCAUGUCAGUCACUCUGUGUCCCCAGUGCCUAGCACAGUGUCAGGUGUGUAGGAAGUGCUCAGUACGCACUAGCUGCCCACGUGAGUGGAUGCUAGGGGCACACACACACACACACACACACACACACAAACACACACACACACACACACACACACACACACACACACACGCACACACACACACAUUCUUACUCAUUGGAUGCCCUCAGGUGCUCUGCUAUCUGUGGUGCUAGAGGAGGUGGAUGCGACAGAGGUGCUCAGCAUCCAGGCCCCACAUGUCAAGGAAGAAACAACAAGGUCCAGGUGACAGGUAGCCAGCCCUGCGGCUCUCUCUGAUGACAGGACACCUCGGGGUGAAAAAUCUUUGCUUAGCUUGGGAGAGCCCCUCUUUGCAGGGCUCAGGCCUCAGAAGGAUGGAGGCAAUCUUUCCCCCAAUUAGCCACACUUUGCUGGGACCACUUAGGCAGCCCUGGUAGGGAUGCUGAUGGCUGGGGACCAGCAAGAAGCUCAGCUCAGAGGUGGGGGUGGUAGCAGGAUUAAUUGGUCCUUUCAUCUCAGAGCAUGCAGGAGGUGGGAGAGUUGUGGGGGGAGAGGGAGGCAGAGGGCAGGGCAGAGAAGAGGGGCAAGGAACUGAGUGGAGAUGGGGGGGUGGCGAGAGUGUGCUUGUCUGGCACCCCACAGCCAGUGUCUUUAUGAUGGAGGAUGUUCUGGAGGCACAGGGGGAAGUCUUUGGCCUCUGCUGAGAGCCCUCCCGUGCCAGGUGUCCAGGAUGGGAAGAAAUGAGGCAGAAGGCUGGCAUCUCAAUUAGGGAAGGAGGGAGGGAAGACUAGAACAGUGAGGUCACUGUAGUGCUCUUAGCUGUUCAGAGGCCUCUUGGAUAUGCCCCUGUGGCCAUAGAGCAGCAGGCAGCACACUCCUCCUAUCCCUGAUCCCUCCCACCUCACUCUCCUGUCCCAGCAGAGAGCCCAGAGCCCAGGAGAGAUGACAAAAUGUGGUCUGACAAUAAAAGCAUCAGCAUUUGGUGCUCACUGGC